CGGGACACGUGGUAUCCUGUCUGAAUAUGGGGGGACCAUCCUCCAAGGCUAAAUACUCCUGACUGACCGAUAGUGAACCAGUACCGUGAGGGAAAGGCGAAAAGAACCCCGGCGAGGGGAGUGAAAAAGAACCUGAAACCGUGUACGUACAAGCAGUGGGAGCACGCUUAGGCGUGUGACUGCGUACCUUUUGUAUAAUGGGUCAGCGACUUAUAUUCUGUAGCAAGGUUAACCGAAUAGGGGAGCCGAAGGGAAACCGAGUCUUAACUGGGCGUUAAGUUGCAGGGUAUAGACCCGAAACCCGGUGAUCUAGCCAUGGGCAGGUUGAAGGUUGGGUAACACUAACUGGAGGACCGAACCGACUAAUGUUGAAAAAUUAGCGGAUGACUUGUGGCUGGGGGUGAAAGGCCAAUCAAACCGGGAGAUAGCUGGUUCUCCCCGAAAGCUAUUUAGGUAGCGCCUCGUGAAUUCAUCUCCGGGGGUAGAGCACUGUUUCGGCAAGGGGGUCAUCCCGACUUACCAACCCGAUGCAAACUGCGAAUACCGGAGAAUGUUAUCACGGGAGACACACGGCGGGUGCUAACGUCCGUCGUGAAGAGGGAAACAACCCAGACCGCCAGCUAAGGUCCCAAAGUCAUGGUUAAGUGGGAAACGAUGUGGGAAGGCCCAGACAGCCAGGAUGUUGGCUUAGAAGCAGCCAUCAUUUAAAGAAAGCGUAAUAGCUCACUGGUCGAGUCGGCCUGCGCGGAAGAUGUAACGGGGCUAAACCAUGCACCGAAGCUGCGGCAGCGACGCUGAUGCGUUGUUGGGUAGGGGAGCGUUCUGUAAGCCUGUGAAGGUGUGCUGUGAGGCAUGCUGGAGGUAUCAGAAGUGCGAAUGCUGACAUAAGUAACGAUAAAGCGGGUGAAAAGCCCGCUCGCCGGAAGACCAAGGGUUCCUGUCCAACGU
rnacentral:rRNA from 1 species